GAUGCGAUAUGGCCAGUAAGUCUGCAUAGUCCUCCCGAAGGCUACAUGUUGGACUUUUCCCCCCCCGCUCUUCUUUUACAAAUGUAUAUUGUUUGUGCAAUGCAGUCAUAAUAUUUACGCAGGGACGCGGGAGGAGUGAGGUGGAGACUCAGCCGAGAUGGGAGCGCACAAACUCGGACGGGGGACUUGAGACCGACUCCUGCAGGAGGAGAACCACGGAAUGAUCCGGGAUCCGAGUAAAGGAAGAGACACAGGCUCAUCUCUGCUGCAUUCUUUCCAUUUAAGUGAAGAGCAGUAUGAUACAGAAGGCUCGAGUGGGCAGACAUGCGGGUUUGGCCACAGGAAGCUGUGAAUUCUUCAGAGAAUGGUAGAUGUCUCAUGGGGAGAAGUGCUGCACCCCCACCCACCCCUCUAGAGCCACCCACACGCCACCCCAAAAUGACCCCUGACCCUUUCACGUGUUUAUAUCAGGCCAUGGAAGUGAGAAAUAGUGAUGAGUCACUCUGGCCGUGUGUUUACACUCUGGAGUCACGCAAGGAAGGAAAUCAGCCACGGUCUGCUAAAAGUGGAGAGGUGAGAGAGAGGAGCUGCUGUGAUUUACCCCUCAGAGCUGUUAUUUAUUUCACAUCACCUCUGCUGAGCAAAUGAUCCACCAGCAGAAAGCAGCAGAAUAAGCUGAGGACUGUAGUCAAGGAAAACAACUGCAAGCGGCAAAGCAUGUAAUCGCUGCAGGGGUAGGUGUGUCUGCUUCCCCGCUUCAAAUAUACUCAUUUCAGAUUAACUUGGAUGUGAUCUGCAUAUUAGUUACUGCAUUUUAUUAGAUAGAUGUUUAUGAUAACAUAUUUAUUUCUGAAUCUGGUACCAGUUAAAAUGUCCAUAUAAACAUUUACUAUCUCUUUUUGUUUUUUGGCAAAACUGAUUAAAACCUUUAAAUUCUUCAUAUUUAGUUAAUUUAUAACCACAAGCUUCAGUGUAAUUUAUCAGGAGGUUUUGUGACAGGCCAAAAAAGGAGCACAAUCGUUUUAAUGUGAAAGGAAAAUAAUACAUUGUUUUAAAAUGUUUAAAAAAAAUAAAAAUCAUAAAAGAGUUGAGUGCAUUCGUAUUCAGCCCCUAUGACGUAAUACUUUGUAUAACUGCUGCAAUUGUUUUGCUGCAAUUACAACUGCAAAACCUUGAAAUCUUUGCCCAUUAUUUUUGCAAAAUAGCUCAAGCAUAGUCAGAUUGCAUGGAGAGCCUUUGUGACCAUCAAUUUUUAAAGCUAUGCCACAAAUUCUCUGUUGUAUUCAAGUCUGGACUUUGACUUGGCCAAGCUAACAGAUAAUGAAUAUGCUUUAAUCUAAACCCUUAUAUUGUAGCUCUGGCUGUUUGUUUGGGGUCAUGAUUGUCCUGCUGGAAAGCAAACCUCCAUCCCAGUGAAGUCUUUGGCGGCUUCUAAUAGGUUUUCUUACAGUGUUGUUCUGUGUUCAGCUCCAUCUGUUUUCCCAUCAACGCUGCAAAAUUUCCAUUGUGAAGAAAAGCAAAGUACCAAGGAAAACAUCAUACUUUUGCCACUGUGUUUCACAGUGACAAAUAUGUGUUCAGGAUGAUGUGCAGUGUUAGCUUCCCUCCACAAAUAAUUUGGAUGUUGGCCCAAAAACUUUACUGUUUUUAUUAGCCUAACCUGACCAGAGCUCAUUGUUCAGAUGUGGACCCUAUUCAGCUUAUGGAAAACUGCAAAAUGGAGCCCUAGUGGGUUUUUUUUCAGCAAUAGCUUCCUUCUUGCUACUCUAUGGUACUGUAAAGGCCAGAUCUGUGGAGUGCACGACGAAUAGUUGUCCUGUCAACAGAUUCCCAUACUUGAGCUGUGGAUCUCUGCAGCACCUCCAAAGUUACCAUAGAACUCUUGGCUGCUGCUCUGAUUAAUUUUCUUGCCAUCCAUAUUAGUUCAGGUGGCUGACCAUGUCCUGAUAGGUUUGUAGCAAUUCUUAUUACAAUCUAAAAAUAUGGACUGAACAGUGCUCUUGAGAUAUUGAAAACUUGGGAUAUUUUUUAUAUCCAAACUCUGGUUCAAAUGUCUCCAUCUUUGGAUUUUAUGAUGCUGUGUGUGCUCUAGUGUCCUCUAACAGACGUCCGAGGCCUUCACAAAACAGUUGUAUUUAUACUGAAAAUAAAUUGCACACAUGCGGACUUUAACAUUGGAUUAAAUAGAUACACUGGAUUUUAUUUAGGGGUAUCGGACUAAUGGGGGGCACACACACUGCCUGCCACAAUUUUAAGAUUUUUAAUUUGUAAAAAGAUUUGAAAGCAUGCAUCAUCUUAGCUCCAAUUUGCAACUAUGUGCCACUUUGUGUUGUUAAAAAAAUGAUAAAAUCCUAAUAAAAUACAUUGCUUGUGCAGUUUGUCAAAUUGUGAAAGGGUUCAAUGGGUCCAGAUACUUUUGCAAGGCACUGUACAUCCAUCCAUGUGUUUUAUGUACCAACUUAACCCUUUCAGUGCUGUUCUCCAGUGGCCGAUUGAAGCUUCAUGUUGUGUACGGUUUUGCAUGAUCUUUUCAUCCACGUUGAGUUUGCUUAGUUAAAUUCCCAAACAGUGGAAAAACUGCAGUCACAAACAUCUACAUUCCACAUGUAGGAGUGAUUUGGGCCUGUUAAAUUGCUUGCACAAUUAAUACAGAUUUUUUUAUGAUUGACUCUUGCCUUCCAUAAAUAUACAGUAGUUUGUGUAUUUCUCUCUUAUAAUUGGGAUUUUAAUGAUAUUGAAAAUACAUUAGAACUUUAAAAAUAAAAAGCCAAUAAACAGCGCUGAGCCGUGCCUUCUUGAAAAUCUAUAUUUUCUCAAUUUUGGGUCUGCAUGUCAGUAAGACUUCUGAUGACAUCCAUAAUUACUGUCAUCAUUUCUCUAAAUAAAACUGAAGUUUUAGGUUUUGAUCGAUGAAGUGUGAAAAUAUUUGUCACAAACCAAGUUAACAGUUUUGACUUUACAUGUUCAGCAUCCUUAGCUGGCCUAUUAAACACCAGGACAUCAGUUUACUUUCAGUUGUCUGUAUGCUUUCAUUAAAUAUAUUAUAGAAUAAUAUAAUGUGAAUGUUAUUAUGUAUGUAUAAUUUCUCUGUUAACCAAAGUUGACUCUUAUAAUGCUGUUCCUUUAAAGGGCUGCACACCCCCUGUCCUGUGAGGGGUGUUUUCUGUGGCUUCCUCUGCUUUUUUCAAACAUUAAGCGUUAUUGUUGUCCUGAAGGCUGACUGACAUUAAAGUACAAAAUGCACAGCCGUUGUUUUCCAGACACGGCUGCAGUUAGUGCUGCUGUAUCCUUUAAAAUCAAAGUGAUGCUUUUUAUUCUCUCCAUCACCACUUUGGUGCGAGUAGCUUCACUGAAGACUGCAGCUGGUGUCCUUUUAAACACCAGUAUACACACAGCCACAAUGAGAGAGUGAAACCGCCUUUAUUUUGGCCAAUCUCUCCUGAAUUGUAAGUGCUGUCAGAAACCUUGAUUGAUUGUUGUGUUUAUCACCAUAUUAUUAAAAAAUCAGGCUCACCGCAGUCAGGUCUGAAGCUCCUUAAUUCCAACGUUGUGCUAAUUAAAGGUUUGCUGAACAGGUUUAGUUUUCUCAUUUUCUUUUCUUUAAAUAUAGAUGUGCAGAUUGUUGCAGUUUUGCACUGUCUGGAGCAUUUAGUACGGAGUGCAGCUAGGUACUACGAGAGGAAUGUUUAUGUAGAAACAGAAAAACACAGGAUGGUUAAUGAGUCCAUGUCUGUACAUCAGCAGAGAUCCACUCUUGCUUCGUUAAUAGAGCCAGCGGCAGGCUGCAUUUGUGUAUCCCUGAGGUAAACACAGUCAUGGCAAAGUGGACGCGCUGUUAAGUGUGUCCUGAACAAAGACAGAGAGCACCGUGGCACUGUACUUUCUGACACACUGGCAGCUUUAGACAUAGGGUUCAUGUGAUGAAUGGCCAUUUGGUAAUGGGCCAUGUAUUAGGCUAAAACAGCUCUUUUAAAAGCCACAGUUUGAACCUUCGCCGUGGGCAGUUUGAAUCAGUAAUCAGUCAGGUGGCAGAUGUUUAGUGUUGGACAGAGCAACUCAGUCCUGCUCUCUCUCCUUUCAACUCAACCGAUGAAUCGCUCAAAUAAAAACAUGACUUAAUGAAGUCAAAAGCAGUAUAGAUAGAACAUGAAAUAAACAGCUUAUUUGUGCAAAUGACAACCAAUUUCUAUAAGUGAAAAAUGUGUUCUGCUUGGAGAUUGUUUCCACUUCCUGCUGAAACCACUUCAGGGUAAAUCAGCAAUAAGUGCAGAAACUUCUCUUUAAGAAAAACUAGUGAACAAACUUGUGUCUUAUGUGGAUACACAUUGUUGAUUUUUCACCCAGGAAGUAAAACAGAUAAAAAAUCAUUUUAAGUCUAUACACAGCACCUUGCAAAGUUAUAUUACCUGCUAAACGUAACAUCCAUAAAUCUCAAUAUGUUUUCUUUUAAUCUUUUGUGACAGACCAACACAAAACAGGAAAAUAAUACAUGUUGUAAAAAGGUUUUUCACAAAUAAAAAAAAUGAAAUUGUGGCAUUUCUUUUUAGCCCCUUUUACCUUUUUGGUCCUUAAAUAAAAUCCAGUGCACAUCAAAAAAUACAUAAUUACGUGUUGUCUAUCUGUAUGUAACUGAAUCUCAGAAUGAAUCCUCCUGGUCUGUGAAAGCCUCAGAGGUUUCUAAAGAACAUUAGUGAACAAACGGCAUCACGAAGGCCAAAGAACACAGCAGUUAAACAGAGAAGCAGCCAAGACUCCCAUGUCCAGAAGUUAAUGAAACUAAAUGUUUCGGCCUACAUGCAAAGGGCUACGUGUGGAGGAAAAGUAACACCCAGAACACUUUAUACCCACCAUGAAAUAUGCUGGUGGCAGUAUCAUGCUGUGGGUACUCUUUUCUUCAGUAGGACUGGUAGGCUGGUUAGAUGAAUGGAGGUAAAUACAGGAGAAUCUUAGGAGAAAUCCUGUUGGAGGCUAAAAUAGACUUGAGACUGGUGUGGAAGUUUACCUUCUAAUCGGACAAUAAGUCUAAAGACACAGCAAGAGGACCAGUUUCAAUCAAAUUAUUUUCAUGUGUUAGAUUGGCCUAGAACAAACUUUCAUAGAGAAUUGUUGGCAAGACAUUUCAAUCAACAAUCACAGCUGCUCUCGAUCCAAUUUGGCUGAGCUUGAAAUAUUUUGCAAACGAGAAUAGAACAAAAUCUGUCUUCGGAGAACCAAAGCUACAGGAGAUAUACUCCAUGCUGUGAAACAGUGGUACCGUUAGCAAAAGCUGUUUCUAGAAAGUGUUAAGUGAGAGAAGCUGACAACCAGUUCACACCAGUGUUUUCAGAGUUUUAGUUGUAAAUAAAAACAUGUAUAAUUUUUCUUCCAAAUUACAAUUAUGCACUACAAAGGUAAGGCAAUGUAUAUGUGUUGCUAAAAGUAUUUAUUUGAUGUCUUAAGGGUGUUUUGUUCUGUUAUCAUUCUUAUUUAACACAUUUUUGUAAUGAAAUUUCUUAACUUCUGUUUUUACAUUGCAGACCUUGUCUUUAAUGAUACUUUUCUUUUAAUGCAGUAAUGACAUGGCUAAAAUGAUUAAAUGUUUUGAAUGCAUUUAUAAUAAACUAUGACUAAUAAAACUUA